rnacentral:rRNA from 1 species
UUUGGUUAUAAAUAAUUGUUAGUGGCAGACGGGUGAGUAAUGCGUAGGAAUCUACCUAGUAGUAUGGAAUAGCCAUUAGAAAUGAUGGGUAAUACUGUAUAAUCCCUGCGGGGGAAAGAUUUAUCGCUAUUAGAUGAGCCUACGUUAGAUUAGCUAGUUGGUAAGGUAAUGGCUUACCAAGGCUAUGAUCUAUAGCUGGUCUGAGAGGACGAUCUGCCACACUGGAACUGAGAUACGGUCCAGACUCCUACGGGAGGCAGCAGUGGGGAAUAUUGGACAAUGGGCGAAAGCCCUGAUCCAGCUAAUGCCGCGUGAGUGAAGAAGGCCUUCGGGUUGUAAAACUCUUUCAAUAGGGAAGAUAAUGACGGUACCUAUAA